rnacentral:rRNA from 1 species
CCUACGGGAGGCAGCAGUGAGGAAUAUUGGUCAAUGGACGCAAGUCUGAACCAGCCAUGCCGCGUGCAGGAAGACGGCUCUAUGAGUUGUAAACCGCUUUUGUACGAGGGUAAACGCAGAUACGCGUAUCUGUCUGAAAGUAUCGUACGAAUAAGGAUCGGCUAACUCCGUGCCAGCAGCCGCGGUAAUACGGAGGAUUCAAGCGUUAUCCGGAUUUAUUGGGUUUAAAGGGUGCGUAGGCGGUCGGAUAAGUUAGAGGUGAAAUCCCGAGGCUCAACUUCGGAAUUGCCUCUGAUACUGUUCGGCUAGAGAGUAGUUGCGGUAGGCGGAAUGUAUGGUGUAGCGGUGAAAUGCUUAGAGAUCAUACAGAACACCGAUUGCGAAGGCAGCUUACCAAGCUACUUCUGACGUUGAGGCACGAAAGCGUGGGGAGCGAACAGGAUUAGAUACCCGAGUAGUC